CACAUCAUUGAAUAAUAUGUAGAAAAAAAUUUUGUUGAAAAGGUUACACAUGCAAUUUUGAAAAUAAUGAUGUUAGCAAUGUUUUUUGAUAAUAGUUGUAGAUAUAUAGAUUGUAUACAAUACAAAUUUUUCUCGGGGAGAAGUAGGUGAAAUUCUAAAAAUUCUUGUAGAAGAAUCUUAUUUCCUUUGUUGUUUCAUAAUGUUAGUAAUAUUUGACUUUUUUUCUUAAUUUUCAAGUAUAAAUUUUGAAACGUUCGCAUUAUUAUGAGAUUUCAUUAAUCAUUUUUAGCGCCUAAUUUUUUUUAUAUAUAUAUUUGUUCGUUACUAAUUAUAAUUUAAUUAGUAAUGGUAGUAAUUUGAAAAUUUUCUAUGAUGAUUAGAAACUUCUUAAUUCGUAACGUGGUUAUGAACCAUAACAAAUAACGUAAACUUUGGAGGUAGAACUUAAAGUUGAGCAACUACCCAUAACAGUUCGAGAAAAUUUUUAUUAUUACCCGAGCAUAUUAUUUAACCAUGAUGGGAGUAAAUUAAAUAUUUCAUACACAUAUACAAGUGAUUUUUAAACAUGAAGUACAAGUUACAUAACUUGUUACAUGUAUAACAAUUUUUAAACAAUCUUUCCUACACUAUAAUAGAUCAAAUGAUGGACAAAAAUCACCAAAAAAACAACCCCAACCAGCUAAGCUAAAGUUGUCCCUACUCCCCCUUAUAGCCCUUUGUACACUUACAUACACAAGCUAAAAACUCUACCAAGAACCAUUUUGUUCUAUCCAAAGCUUGUGCAUCAUUACAAGCAUGCGAGAGGUAAAUAUUUGAAGCAAAAAUACUAUUCUGAACAAUUAUUUAGCCAUAAACCCCAACAUAUUGCUCCCAAAUUCAUCCAUGAACAAACACUGGGAUCCUUUAAACUUUCAACUACUAAAACACCUUCCUUUCUAAUCAAAUCUUCUUCAAAAAUCCAUCUAAAACUUCUGAAAAUUUAUGUUUAUAAACUCAAAUCUCCUGUAAAAAUAAUCUUCAUUUCAAGAGCUUUCUAUAGAUGCCGAACUUGAAGAAAUCCACCAAGUAUAAAUUGAAGAGUUGGAGUUGAGACUUGAAGGCCAAGGACCCAAAGUUGGAACCACUUCUAAGAACGUGUAGGAGCUUACAUGGGAGCCUACGGAAUAUUUAUAUACGCUUGGAGUCUAGAGUAAACCCCUAUGGCACCUUGACGGAGAAUGGAUAUGCGAGCGGAAGAUGAUCCCGAGUUGAAGUAUGACUCUCCAUUUGUUUAGAUCUCUUUAUUGUAUUUGAGAGACUAUUAGUUUAGUUGUUUAAGUUUGGACUAUUUUAAGGAUGUAAUUUGAACUUUGGACUUAUUUCGAUUUGGUUGUAAUUUUCCUUUAUUUUAGACGGUUAAGACUUUUGUUAUAUAGCUUUGGUUUUGGUUCAAGUAUUCUACUUGGACAUUGGUUUACCCUUUAAGU